rnacentral:piRNA from 1 species
GCCACAAGCCCAGGAGGGCCUACUUAUAU